GGUAAAAAAGCUCGUAGUUGGAUUUCUGUUGAGGACGACCGGUCCAUACCACGUAUGCGCAUCUGGCUCGGCCUCGGCAUCCUCUCGAUAGGCGUUUCUGCGCUUGAUUGCGUGGAGCGGAUCUCGGGACUUUUACUUUGAGGAAAUUAGAGUGUUCACGGCAGGCUAUCGCCAGAAUACAUUAGCAUGGAAUAAUACUAUAGGAUCUCGGUUCUAUUUUGUUGGUUUCUAGAAUUGAGAUAAUGAUUAAUAGGGGCAAUUGGGGGCAUUCGUAUCAACACGUCAGAGGUGGAAUUCUUGGAUUGUGUUGCGACGAACUACUGCGAAAGCAUUUGCCAAGGAUGUUUUCAUUGAUCAAGAACGAAAGUAAGGGGAUCGAAGACGAUUAGAUACCGUCGUAGUCUUUACCAUAAACUAUGCCAACUAGAGAUCCGGCAUCGUUCACUUACGACUUGCUGGGCACCUUAUGGAUACUAAAGUCUUUGGGUUCCGGGGGGAGUAUGGUCGCAAGGCUGAAACUUAAAGGAAUUGACGGAAGGGCACCACCAGGAGUGGAGCCUGCGGCUUAAUUUGACUCAACACGGGGAAACUCACCAGGUCCAGACAUAAUAAGGAUUGACAGAUUGAUAGCUCUUUCUUGAUUUUAUGGGUGGUGGUGCAUGGCCGUUCUUAGUUCGUGGAGUGAUUUGUCUGCUUAAUUGCGUUAACGA
rnacentral:rRNA from 1 species